GGUUCUAUGGUGUAGUUGGUUAUCACUUCUGUCUAACACAAACCCUGUGUAACACAGGCGGUCCUCAGUUCGAACCUGGGUGGAAUCA